UACGUAGGGCGCAAGCGUUUGUCCGGAAUUAUUGGGCGUAAAGAGCUCGUAGGCGGUCUGUCGCGUCUGCCGUGAAAACCCGAGGCUUAACCUCGGGCUGGCGGUGGAUACGGGCAGACUAGAGGUAGGUAGGGGAGAAUGGAAUUCCCCGGUGUAGCGGUGAAAUGCGCAGAUAUCGGGAGGAACACCGGUGGCGAAGGCGGUUCUCUGGGCCUUACCUGACGCUGAGGAGCGAAAGCGUGGGGAGCGAACAGG
rnacentral:rRNA from 1 species